GACCGAGGGUGCAAACGUUGUUCGGAAUUACUGGGCGUAAAGCGCGUGUAGGCGGCUGCGCAAGUCGGAUGUGAAAUCCCGUGGCUCAACCACGGAAGUGCACCCGAAACUGCGUAGCUGGAGUCUCGGAGAGGAAGGUGGAAUGCUUGGUGUAGAGGUGAAAUUCGUAGAUAUCAAGCGGAACACCGGUGGCGAAGGCGGCCUUCUGGACGAUGACUGACGCUGAGACGCGAAAGCGUGGGGAGCAAACAGG
rnacentral:rRNA from 1 species